CCUGAUGCAGCAACGCCGCGUGAGGGAUGACGGCCUUCGGGUUGUAAACCUCUUUUAGUAGGGAAGAAGCGAAAGUGACGGUACCUGCAGAAAAAGCACCGGCUAACUACGUGCCAGCAGCCGCGGUAAUACGUAGGGUGCAAGCGUUGUCCGGAAUUAUUGGGCGUAAAGAGCUCGUAGGCGGUUUGUCGCGUCUGCUGUGAAAUCCCGAGGCUCAACCUCGGGCUUGCAGUGGGUACGGGCAGACUAGAGUGCGGUAGGGGAGAUUGGAAUUCCUGGUGUAGCGGUGGAAUGCGCAGAUAUCAGGAGGAACACCGAUGGCGAAGGCAGAUCUCUGGGCCGUAACUGACGCUGAGGAGCGAAAGCAUGGGGAGCGAACAGGAUUAGAUACCCUGGUAGUCCAUGCCGUAAACGUUGGGCGCUAGAUGUAGGGACCUUUCCACGGUUUCUGUGUCGUAGCUAACGCAUUAAGCGCCCCGCCUGGGGAGUACGGCCGCAAGGCUAAAACUCAAAGGAAUUGACGGGGGCCCGCACAAGCGGCGGAGCAUGCGGAUUAAUUCGAUGCAACGCGAAGAACCUUACCAAGGCUUGACAUACACCGGAAACGGCCAGAGAUGGUCGCCCCCUUGUGGUC
rnacentral:rRNA from 5 species